AUUGAACGCUGGCGGCAGGCCUAACACAUGCAAGUCGAACGGUAACAGGAAGAAGCUUGCUUCUUUGCUGACGAGUGGCGGACGGGUGAGUAAUGUCUGGGAAACUGCCUGAUGGAGGGGGAUAACUACUGGAAACGGUAGCUACUACCGCAUAACGUCGCAAGACCAAAGAGGGGGACCUUCGGGCCUCUUGCCAUCGGAUGCGCCCAGAUGGGAUUAGCUAGUAGGUGGGGUAACGGCUCACCUAGUCGACGAUCCCUAGCUGGUGUGAGAGUAUGAGAGGCCACACUGGAGCUGAGACACGGUCCAGACUCCUACGGGAGGCAGCAGUGGGGAAUGUUGCGCAAUGGGCGCAAGCCUGAUGCAGCCAUGCCGCGUGUAUGAAGAAGGCCUUCGGGUUGUAAAGUACUUUCAGCGGGGAGGAAGGGAGUAAAGUUAAUACCUUUACUCAUUGACGUUACCCGCAGAAGAAGCACCGGCUAACUCCGUG
rnacentral:rRNA from 1 species